AUUGAACGCUGGCGGCAGGCCUAACACAUGCAAGUCGAGCGAGCGGCGGACGGGUGAGUAAAGUCUGGGAAACAGCCUGAUGGAGGGGGGUAAAUACUGGAAACGCUAGCUAAUACCCCAUACCAUAUGAUGUGUCCAGAUGGGAUUAGCGAGUAGGUGGGGUAACGGCUCACCAAGGCGACGAUCCCUAUCUGGUCUGAGAGGAUGACCAGCCACACUGGAACUGAGACACGGUCCAGACUCCUACGGGAGGCAGCAGUGGGGAAUAUUGCACAAUGGGCGCAAGCCUGAUGCAGCCAUGCCGCGUGUGUGAAGAAGGCCUUCGGGUUGUAAAGCACUUUCAGCGGGGAGGCGUUACGCGCAGAAGAAGCACCGGCUAACUCCGUGCCAGCAGCCGCGGUAAUAC
rnacentral:rRNA from 1 species